GGUCAAGUGAAUAAGUGCAUGUGGUGGAUGCCUUGGCGAUCACAGGCGAUGAAGGACGUGCAAGCCUGCGAAAAGCGGGGGGGAGCUGGCAAUGGAGCUUUGAUCCCCCGAUGUCCGAAUGGGGAAACCCGGCCCGUAAGGGUCAUCCCUGACUGAAUACAUAGGUCAGCGGAAGCGAACCGAGCGAACUGAAACAUCUAAGUAGCUCGAGGAACAGAAAUCAACCGAGAUUCCCAAAGUAGUGGCGAGCGAACUGGGAGUAGCCUGCACGACUAAACCAUUUACUUAACAAAACGGUCUGGAAAGUCCGACGAUACAGGGUGAUAGUCCCGUAUGUGAAAAGUAAUUGGCGGGUCUGAGCGUGCGACAAGUAGGGCGGGACACGUGAAAUCCUGUUUGAAGAUGGGGGGACCAUCCUCCAAGGCUAAAUACUCGUGAUCGACCGAUAGUGAACCAGUACCGUGAGGGAAAGGCGAAAAGAACCCCGGGAGGGGAGUGAAAUAGAUCCUGAAACCGCAUGCAUACAAACAGUGGGAGCCUCGUAAGGGGUGACUGCGUACCUUUUGUAUAAUGGGUCAGCGACUUACGUUCCGUUGCGAGCUUAACCGAAUAGGGGAGGCGAAGCGAAAGCGAGUCUUAAUAGGGCGCAUAGUAGCGGGGCGUAGACCCGAAACCGGAUGAUCUA
rnacentral:rRNA from 1 species